GUAUUUCUUUUAGGAAUUUUUUUAAAAUGCCUAAAGAUCUGAGGCCUUCUCUCCUUCAGGAGAGUGCCUUGAAAUAGAUUAUCUGUACCUCGAGAAGAUGUCUGACGUCUCUUAACAACAGAACAGUAUUUGAAUGGUUUUCAACCUCAAUGCCUACUAAGUUGCUAGGGAAAUAGUCGAUCGAGCUAUAGGUCCAUAAACUAUAGUGCUCCUUCCUCUUGAGGAAAGAGCUCUGAA
rnacentral:misc_RNA from 1 species